rnacentral:rRNA from 1 species
GAUGAACGCUGGCGGCGUGCCUAAUACAUGCAAGUAGAACGCUGAAGGAGGAGCUUGCUCUUCUGGAUGAGUUGCGAACGGGUGAGUAACGCGUAGGUAACCUGCCUGGUAGCGGGGGAUAACUAUUGGAAACGAUAGCUAAUACCGCAUGACAACAGUUAUUGCAUGAUAACUGUUUAAAAGGGGCAACUGCUCCACUACCAGAUGGACCUGCGUUGUAUUAGCUAGUUGGUGAGGUAACGGCUCACCAAGGCGACGAUACAUAGCCGACCUGAGAGGGUGAUCGGCCACACUGGGACUGAGACACGGCCCAGACUCCUACGGGAGGCAGCAGUAGGGAAUCUUCGGCAAUAGACGGAAGUCUGACCGAGCAACGCCGCGUGAGUGAAGAAGGUUUUCGGAUCGUAAAGAUCUGUUGUAAGAGAAGAACGAGUGUGAGAGUGGAAAGUUCACACUGUGACGGUAUCUUACCAGAAAGGGACGGCUAACUACGUG